GGUGCCACAUGAAAGCAGUGGAUGUUUUCCUAGAUUUGAUCUCGUCUCGUCACCCUGUUUGUAGUCGAAACACUCUCUGAGCACAGAGAUAGAGAUCACACCUUAGGUAGAAAGUUCAUUCGCACAUGAGGGACCUAACACUUCCCCCGAGCUGUUUCUGCCAGAUUGUUCUGAGUCACCUUAUUGUUCGACCAAAUAGAAAUCCGAUCUGUUAAUUUGCUUUAAUUCAGGGACUCUAGUAUGAAAGUUCUAAAGGUGAACAUUGAAAUUCAACAAGGAAGCCCAGAGAACACUGCUAUGACAUCAUAAAGGCCCCUGUCUUGUUCAGGUCAAGACUCUGAUUCCAAAGGCUAUUAAAGAACUGUCCACACACACGAUAUAGUUCACAGUCAGCUGAACUUUGCCCAGGAACAUCGAGAGGGACUGCUGAAGAGUACAGGGGAUUUCCACAAGCACAUUGCGGUCACUCACUCCAAUGGCUUCCACAGCAGACAGAAAGGCUCAAAGCAGACCUAAGAUAUGGAUGAACCCGCUGAAGACCCUGGUUCCCGUCAACGCCAGCCGAAUGAAGGUGGUGGACAAACAGAUUGAUGUCCUGGUUUUCUCUUGGAGGAUGGCUCAACUAAAACAAGCUGGGAGGGUUCCCUUGCCCCAAAUCAGACCACAGACCACCUCCCCCUCGCUCCCAGUACCACUGCAAUGGUCUGAUCAGCCUUCCAACUCCCUGCUCCCCUUCUAUACAGCGCUGAAACCCACCUUCGGGUGCCGUUUCUCCUGGGAUACGGACCAUAAGAUUCGCUCUUCUGGCAUUGAUGCUAAAAAGCCGUGAGCUGGCGGAGUAAUCAGCGUUGCAAAAUAAAAGCGUGCACAAUCUC